UAGAUGUAAGACUGCAUUAUAAGUCAUAAUACCUACUUGUGUUUAGAUUCACGCGACCAGCCGAGUCGAGGGCCGGCUGUGGCUCUGACUCCGCCCCUCCUGAACUCCAUCUCUGCAUCAUCAAGGUUGAAGGAGGUGAGGACGGCAGAGGAGCUCCAUCAUGGGAUUUUCGUGGAGGAACGCCGGCCAAGUCCAGGUGCUCUGUGCCUUUACGUUCUGCCUCAGCUGUAAAAAUAGUUAUAUAAACAUUAACAUGACAACAAACGUACUUCAACGAGGCUGCACAUCUGAGAACAGAUCAGAUUUUGCCCAAACUCAGCAAUAAAGGACUGUAAGCUUCAAACAAAACAGCAUAACUACAGAAGCACUACUACGACCCGAUGUUAAACUAAAAAAAUAAGGAAUUUAACAUGAGCAUUACAACUGACACCACCCAUGCAAAAGACUAGUUAACUACUAUGACACAACUUACAGAUUCUCAUUUACAAUGAAUGAGAAAUAUGUCACAACUGGCAAGUACCAUCAAAACGGCUUCAUUGCAGAUGGUUUAAAGACAUGGAUAAGGGACAACUGGACAGAAUUACCUCACACCAGAGCAAGCUAAAAGAAACUCUUGAAAAACGUCUUUGCAAUGAUAAUUUAGAGCAGUGAUU